rnacentral:rRNA from 1 species
AACGAACGCUGGCGGCAUGCCUAACACAUGCAAGUCGAACGAGACCUUCGGGUCUAGUGGCGCACGGGUGCGGAACGCGGGGGAAGCUGCCCUUAGGUUCGGAAUAACUCCCCGAAGGGGGUGCUAAUACCGGAUAAUGUCCUAGGACCAAAGAUUUAUCGCCUUUGGAUGGGCCCGCGUUGGAUUAGCUGGUUGGUAGGGUAAAAGCCUACCAAGGCGACGAUCCGUAGCUGGUCAGAGAGGAUGAUCCGCCACACUGGGACUGAGACACGGCCCAGACUCCUACGGGAGGCAGCAGUGGGUGAUAUUGGACAAUGGGCGAAAGCCUGAUCCAGCAAUGCCGCGUGAGUGAUGAAGGCCUUAGGGUUGUAAAGCUCUUUUACCCGGGAUGAUAAUGACAGUACCGGGAGAAUAAGCUCCGGCUAACUCCGUG